rnacentral:rRNA from 1 species
AUUGAACGCUGGCGGCAGGCCUAACACAUGCAAGUCGAGCGAGCGGCGGACGGGUGAGUAAUGUCUGGGAAACUGCCUGAUGGAGGGGGAUAACUACUGGAAACGGUAGCUAAUACCGCAUACCAUCAGAUGUGCCCAGAUGGGUUUAGCUAGUAGGUGGGGUAACGGCUCACCUAGGCCACGAUCCCUAGCUGGCUUGAGAGGAUGACCAGCAAAACUGGACAUGAGACACGGUCCAGACUCCUACGGGAGGCAGCAGUGGGAAAUAUUGCACAAUGGGCGAAAGCCUGAUGCAGCCAUGCCGCGUGUGUGAAGAAGGCCUUCAGGUUGUAAAGCACUUUCAGCGGGGAGGCGUUACCCGCAGAAGAAGCACCGGCUAACUCCGUGCCAGCAGCCGCGGUAAUUC